rnacentral:misc_RNA from 1 species
UUUCCGUAGGUGAACCUGCGGAAGGAUCAUUAAUGAACCUUUGAGGGUUGAGCUGGCGAUUUAAUUCGCAUGUGCUUACCUUCUCAUCCUUUUAUAACACCUGUGCACUUUUUGAAGGGGAAUAGUAGGUGAUGCAAAUCAUCGAGAUCCCCCUUCGAACUCACAUACACUUUAUUUAUUAUUGAAUGUUCAAACGCUUAACAGCAUUAAAAUACAACUUUUAACAACGGAUCUCUUGGCUCUCGCAUCGAUGAAGAACGCAGC